GGCGUCGUGGCGCAAUGGCUAGCGCAUAGAGCUUCUAUGGUUUGGUGACUCUAAGGCUGCGGGUUCGAGUCCCGCCGUCGCCU